rnacentral:hammerhead_ribozyme from 1 species
GUACUGCUGAGGAGUCCCACAAUAGGACAAAACGGCCGUCCAAUGC